AGGCGUGAGCCUACGGAAAGUGCCACAGAAAAUAACCGCCUAAGCGCUUCGGCGCCGGUAAGGGUGAAAAGGUGCGGUAAGAGCGCACCGCACGGCUGGCAACAGUCCGUGGCUAGGUAAACCCCACUUGGAGCAAGACCAAAUAGGGAUCCAUUGGCGUGGCCCGCGCUGGAUCCGGGUAGGUUGCUAGAGGCAGUCAGUGAUGGCUGUCGUAGAGGAAUGGCUGUCCUCGACAGAACCCGGCUUACAGAUCGACUCUCCGU
rnacentral:RNase_P_RNA from 1 species